ACAUGAAUGACAUAAAAGAACCAAAGAGUUAUCAAAGUUUUGGUACCCUCGGCUGGUAAAAACCAUAAGACAUGAAUGACGGCUUACUGAUUCUUAAGACAGACAUAAAAGGACGAAAGAGUUCUCAAAGUUUGGUACCCACGGCUGGUAAAAACCAUAAGACAUGAAGAAAGAACCAAAGAGUUCUCAAAGUUUGGUACCCUCGGCUGGUAAAAACCAUAAGACAUGAAUGACUGACCUUGUGGCUUAAUGAUUCCUAAGACAAAGACAUAAAAGAACCAAAGAGUUCUGAUUGGUACCAUCCGCUUGGAAAAACCAUAAGACAAAGGAGUCAAAAGACAUUGGAAGGGUAGUGCAUGCAUGUAAGGAAAUGAGUUGCGAUAUUUUGGAUGGAGCGGACUAAAGAAAUCUUAAGACAAGAUUGUGACUUGUUUGAUGGUAAAAAUGACCAGAACUUGGACCAACGUACGGCUUAAAGAAGUUUAGCCCAACGUGGUAAGUAUAUACAUUCACAUAAAAUGAAGACUAACAAAUUCUUUUUUCUUUUCCUUUCAGGUAUGUGCUUCUCAAGUUACGGUGUUCAGAUUGUCAAGACUUUUGAUAGGUAUAUGCUUUCAAACCUUUUUAUUUUUGUUCAAGUACUUUCCAAUCUUGUUUGUAAUUAGUAUAUGAAAAUCACAAGUGAGAGACACAUACAACAUCCUGAACUCCAAAGUGGUAGCUUCUGGUGCUUUUAUCAACUGAUGACGCAGUUGGGAACAGAUUCCAAUUCGAGAGACUAGUCUUUGCAGUUGGAACUCUAGUCUUUGCAGUUGGAACUCUAUCGAAUGAUUGGUGUAUUUAGUUAGAAUGCAAUGUGUAUUUCUUUAUUCUGUUCUAGCCUUUUGUUUUAAUCACAAUUUUCUUUAUGAUUGAUGUCAAAAUUCAGUUGUAGCCUUUCCGUAUAUAUCUAUUCCAUUUUUACCUUUCAAUUUUUGUUGUUGUUGUUUGUUUGUUUGUGUUAAACGCACAACUUGAAUUUCAAUGUUAGUUUUGUUGAAAAACAUAGUUUCUGUAUGGUCAUGAACAUACAUAAAAUAUAGUUUUU